GGAAUAUUGGUCAAUGGACGAAAGUCUGAACCAGCCAUGCCGCGUGGAGGAUGAAGGCCCUCUGGGUUGUAAACUUUUUUUAUAUGGGACGCAAAAGGACCUUUCUAGGUCAACUGACGGUACCAUUUGAAUAAGCGCCGGCUAACUCCGUGCCAGCAGCCGCGGUAAUACGGAGGGUGCAAGCGUUAUCCGGAUUCACUGGGUUUAAAGGGUGCGUAGGUGGGUUGGUAAGUCAGUGGUGAAAUCCCCGAGCUUAACUUGGGAACUGCCAUUGAUACUAUUAAUCUUGAAUAUUGUGGAGGUCAGCGGAAUAUGUCAUGUAGCGGUGAAAUGCUUAGAGAUGACAUAGAACACCAAUUGCGAAGGCAGCUGGCUACGCAUAUAUUGACACUGAGGCACGAAAGCGUGGGGAUCAAA
rnacentral:rRNA from 1 species